GCGUCUGUAGCCUAGUUGGUAAAGGCAGCACUCUAGUAUGUGUCUCAACAUAGCUGAGGUCGUGAGUUCAACUCUCACCAGACACA
rfam:Puccinia triticina 1-1 BBBD Race 1 supercont2.107, whole genome shotgun sequence.